AGCAUGUGGUUUAAUUCGACGCAACGCGAAGAACCUUACCAGGUCUUGACAUCCCGAUGCUAUUUCUAGAGAUAGAAAGUUACUUCGGUACAUCGGUGACAGGUGGUGCAUGGUUGUCGUCAGCUCGUGUCGUGAGAUGUUGGGUUAAGUCCCGCAACGAGCGCAACCCCCGCCGUUAGUUGCCAGCGGUUCGGCCGGGCACUCUAACGGGACUGCCCGCGAAAGCGGGAGGAAGGAGGGGACGACGUCUGGUCAGCAUGGCCCUUACGGCCUGGGCGACACACGUGCUACAAUGCCCACUACAAAGCGAUGCCACCCGGCAACGGGGAGCUAAUCGCAAAAAGGUGGGCCCAGUUCGGAUUGGGGUCUGCAACCCGACCCCAUGAAGCCGGAAUCGCUAGUAAUCGCGGAUCAGCCAUGCCGCGGUGAAUACGUUCCCGGGCCUU
rnacentral:rRNA from 1 species